AGCCGAACGAGAGAGAAGGAGCUUGCUUCUUCGAUCGAGUGGCGAACGGGUGAGUAACGCGUGAGGAACCUGCCUCAAAGAGGGGGACAACAGUUGGAAACGACUGCUAAUACCGCAUAAGCCCACGGGUCGGCAUCGACCUGAGGGAAAAGGAGCAAUCCGCUUUGAGAUGGCCUCGCGUCCGAUUAGCUAGUUGGUGAGGUAACGGCCCACCAAGGCGACGAUCGGUAGCCGGACUGAGAGGUUGAACGGCCACAUUGGGACUGAGACACGGCCCAGACUCCUACGGGAGGCAGCAGUGGGGAAUAUUGCACAAUGGGGGAAACCCUGAUGCAGCGACGCCGCGUGGAGGAAGAAGGUCUUCGGAUUGUAAACUCCUGUUGUUGAGGAAGAUAAUGACGGUACUCAACAAGGAAGUGACGGCUAACUACGUGCCAGCAGCCGCGGUAAAACGUAGGUCACAAGCGUUGUCCGGAAUUACUGGGUGUAAAGGGAGCGCAGGCGGGAAGACAAGUUGGAAGUGAAAUCUAUGGGCUUAACCCAUAAACUGCUUUCAAAACUGUUUUUCUUGAGUAGUGCAGAGGUAGGCGGAAUUCCCGGUGUAGCGGUGGAAUGCGUAGAUAUCGGGAGGAACACCAGUGGCGAAGGCGGCCUACUGGGCACCAACUGACGCUGAGGCUCGAAAGUGUGGGUAGCAAACAGGAUUAGAUACCCUGGUAGUCCACACCGUAAACGAUGAUUACUAGGUGUUGGAGGAUUGACCCCUUCAGUGCCGCAGUUAACACAAUAAGUAAUCCACCUGGGGAGUACGACCGCAAGGU
rnacentral:rRNA from 1 species